rnacentral:tRNA from 1 species
AAGGAUUUAAGUUAAGAAAACUAAUAGCCUUCAAAGCUGUAAAUAAGUAAUUUUAAGCCUUA